rnacentral:rRNA from 1 species
UGCAAGUCGAGCGGAAACGACACUAACAAUCCUUCGGGUGCGUUAAUGGGCGUCGAGCGGCGGACGGGUGAGUAAUGCCUAGGAAAUUGCCUUGAUGUGGGGGAUAACCAUUGGAAACGAUGGCUAAUACCGCAUGAUGCCUACGGGCCAAAGAGGGGGACCUUCGGGCCUCUCGCGUCAAGAUAUGCCUAGGUGGGAUUAGCUAGUUGGUGAGGUAAUGGCUCACCAAGGCGACGAUCCCUAGCUGGUCUGAGAGGAUGAUCAGCCACACUGGAACUGAGACACGGUCCAGACUCCUACGGGAGGCAGCAGUGGGGAAUAUUGCACAAUGGGCGAAAGCCUGAUGCAGCCAUGCCGCGUGUAUGAAGAAGGCCUUCGGGUUGUAAAGUACUUUCAGUUGUGAGGAAGGGUGUGUAGUUAAUAGCUGCGCAUCUUGACGUUAGCAACAGAAGAAGCACCGGCUAACUCCGUGCCAGCAGCCGCGGUAAUACGGAGGGUGCGAGCGUUAAUCGGAAUUACUGGGCGUAAAGCGCAUGCAGGUGGUUCAUUAAGUCAGAUGUGAUAGCCCGGGGCUCAACCUCGGAACUGCAUUUGAAACUGGUGAACUAGAGUACUGUAGAGGGGGGUAGAAUUUCAGGUGUAGCGGUGAAAUGCGUAGAGAUCUGAAGGAAUACCAGUGCCGAAGGGCGGCCCCCUGGACAGAUACUGACACUCAGAUGCGAAAGCGUGGGGGAGCAAACAGGAUUAGAUACC